AUUGAACGCUGGCGGCAGGCCUAACACAUGCAAGUCGAACGAGUGGCGGACGGGUGAGUAAUGUCUGGGAAACUGCCCGAUGGAGGGGGAUAACUACUGGAAACGGUAGCUAAUACCGCAUACCAUCGGAUGUGCCCAGAUGGGCUUAGCUAGUAGGUGGGGUAACGGCUCCCCUAGGCGACGAUCCCUAGCUGGGCUGAGCGGAUGACCAGGCACACUGGGACGGAGACACGGUCCAGACGCCUAGGGGAGGCAGCAGUGGGGAAUAUUGCACAAUGGGCGCAAGACUGAUGCAGCCAUGCCGCGGGUAUGAAGAAGGCCUUCGGGUUGUAAAGUACUUUCAGCGAGGAGGCGUUACGCGCAGAAGAAGCACCGGCUAACUCCGUGCCAGCAGCCGCGGUAAUAC
rnacentral:rRNA from 1 species